rnacentral:lncRNA from 1 species
AACAAACAUGUAAUGACUAAUGCGACAUCCGGACAACUCUGGAUCCCAAGCAGCCCGACCGGCCCGCCACCCCUACCGCAGAAUGGUGUGAACCUUCAAGCUUGAGAGUAGAGACUGGGAAUGGUGUGAACCUUCAAGCUUGAGAGUAGAGACUGGUUGGGGCUACGCCCAAGUCCUGGUCCUGAAACUGAACAAGACUUGGCCCCGGACGGGCCAGGGCCCAACGCCGGACCUUCAAAAGAAGGGCCGAGCGGCCGAAGGGGGGAUGAAGAUCCAUAGCCAUAAGCCCUUAG